rnacentral:rRNA from 1 species
AACGAACGCUGGCGGCGUGCCUAACACAUGCAAGUCGAACGUGAUUGGAAGCUUGCUUCCAUGAAAGUGGCGCACGGGUGAGUAACGCGUAGAUAAUCUGCCUGGUGAUCUGGGAUAACACUUCGAAAGGGGUGCUAAUACCGGAUAAGCCCACGGGGUCUUUGGACUCUGCAGGAAAAGGAGGGGACCUUCGGGCCUUCCGUCAUCAGAUGAGUCUGCGUACCAUUAGCUAGUUGGUAGGGUAAAGGCCUACCAAGGCGACGAUGGUUAGCUGGUCUGAGAGGGUGAUCAGCCACACUGGAACUGAGACACGGUCCAGACUCCUACGGGAGGCAGCAGUGGGGAAUUUUGCGCAAUGGGCGAGAGCCUGACGCAGCAACGCCGCGUGAGUGAUGAAGGCUCUUGGGUCGUAAAGCUCUGACAGAGGGAAAGAAGUGUGUGGAGGUUAAUACCCUUUGCACUUGACGGUACCCCCAAAGGAAGCACCGGCUAACUCCGUGCCAGCAGCCGCCGUAAAAC